rnacentral:snoRNA from 1 species
CAAGCCUCCAAACGCUGCUAACAGUUUGGGCCAAAGGCUGGCGAUGAUUGAGAGAUUCCCAACGCAAUUUCUACUGAUCCAAAUGAAGGUUAAACUUCCUUGGACGUCUGAGCCGC